rnacentral:rRNA from 1 species
GAUGAACGCUGGCGGCGUGCUUAACACAUGCAAGUCGAACGGAAAGGCCCAAGCUUGCUUGGGUACUCGAGUGGCGAACGGGUGAGUAACACGUGGGUGAUCUGCCCUGCACUUCGGGAUAAGCCUGGGAAACUGGGUCUAAUACCGGAUAGGACCACAUUUUGGAUGGUGUGGUGGAAAGUUUUUCGGUGUGGGAUGGGCUCGCGGCCUAUCAGCUUGUUGGUGGGGUAAUGGCCUACCAAGGCGUCGACGGGUAGCCGGCCUGAGAGGGUGUACGGCCAUAUGGGGACUGGAAUCGCGCCCAGACUCCAACGGGGGCAAGCAGUGGGGAUGUUGCAAAAAGGGGCGCAAUCUUUAUGCAGCGACGCCGCGGGGGGAAUCACGGCCUUGGUUUUGUAACCUCUUUUCGCGGGGGAAACAGCGAAAGUGCGGUUACGUGCAAAAGAGCCGCGGGCAAACCACGUG